rnacentral:rRNA from 1 species
UGGGGAAUAUUGGACAAUGGGCGCAAGCCUGAUCCAGCAAUGCCGCGUGUGUGAAGAAGGUCUUCGGAUUGUAAAGCACUUUCGACGGGGACGAUGAUGACGGUACCCGUAGAAGAAGCCCCGGCUAACUUCGUGCCAGCAGCCGCGGUAAUACGAAGGGGGCUAGCGUUGCUCGGAAUGACUGGGCGUAAAGGGCGCGUAGGCGGAUGGCACAGUCAGAUGUGAAAUUCCCGGGCUUAACCUGGGGGCUGCAUUUGAUACGUGUUGUCUGGAGUGAGGAAGAGGGUCGUGGAAUUCCCAGUGUAGAGGUGAAAUUCGUAGAUAUUGGGAAGAACACCGGUGGCGAAGGCGGCGACCUGGUCCUUUACUGACGCUGAGGCGCGAAAGCGUGGGGAGCAAACAGGAUUAGAUACCCUGGUAGUCCACGCUGUAAACGAUGUGUGCUGGAUGUUGGGCGACCUAGUCGCUCAGUGUCGUAGCUAACGCGAUAAGCACACCGCCUGGGGAGUACGGCCGCAAGGUUG